rnacentral:rRNA from 1 species
UGGUGGUGUGGAUUGUCUGGUUGAUUCCGUUAACGAACGAGACCUUUUCCUAUUAAAUAGAUACUGGAAGAUAUUGCGCUAUGGCCAGGGGGGGCCAAUGUGUGGAAGGAUCCGUUCCCCUCGCAUUGCUCGUUCCUCCUGGUUGCACUUUUUCCAGGAUAUUCUUCUUAGAGGGACUAUUUGUGAUAAGCAAAUGGAAGUUAAAGGCAAAAACAA